GUCACGUCCGCGAGCCGGUUUUGUUCCGUCCUCCAAGCGGCAUCAUACUCCACCGAGCGUUUCAGAAGCAGAGCGGUUUGCCUGCCUAACGUUGUUGAUUUGUUCCCUUUCCCUUGGCUUUUGUGUUUCUAUCAUGGCUUGACGGGGCUUCCUUCAAAAAGAGACUCGCCGCGUAUUCACCGAGGAGCGAGUCGCUUCGCAACGCCGCCGUGACCGGUGAAAUCCCGGGCUUAGAACAAACGACCUAUGUGGUGGGAGGACUUGUUGGGUCAGUUGUAUGACAUUUUACUAGCUGGAGCAUUAUUAAAAGUUUUUCAGCAGGUGAUUCGUAUAAACAGCAGGGCUCUUCACAACUAAUCCAUCAUCUUCGCUGAAGAGCUCUUGCUGCUUCAAAGGUGACAACAUGCAGAGAGUAAUUGAUUUCAACUUUAAAGUCAUGUGUUUCCCUUGACUAGUAUGUUAGAUAAAUGUCUGUAAUGCAAAUAUAAAUCCACUCAAUUUUCUGACAUUUAAGCUGUAAUAAACACAUUUUAAAGUGGCAGAGGAGAACAAGUAUUUUCUGUUGUUGGGAAUAUGUUGUCCUUCAAACUGAAUGCUCUGUCACGUCUCAGUGUUUCCUCUACUGUCAGAUGCUUGAUGGAAGUCGACUGUGUAGUCGACUUUCAUCUAAAAUAAUCAGCCUGUCCUCUUUCUCAGGGUUUUUCAUAUUGUGAUGGAGAAGAAAUUGGUGAAUGAUUUGUCAUUACAUUGUAAUGGAAAUCACCUUGUUGUUGUUUCUGCUCAUUUCAGACCAAAAGAGCCUCAUGAGAGACUCAUUGCCUCUGAGGAAAUACUAUCCAGAUGCUGAGUGCUAUUAAGGUUCUCUGAAAAUUAUUGGCUACUUUAAUCUUCAGCACACUGCAGACAAAGUGGAUGAUUCUUCACCCUUUUAAAAUCAGUUUUUUUUUGUUUUGUUUACAACCAUAAACUUUUUUUUUUAUGUGGAGAAGUGAAAGUUUGUUUAGGUAGAGCAAAAUCACUGAAAAACAUAAAUAUGUGGAAUGUAAUUCCAGGCGUCAUGGACCACAUGUUGUCCUUCAGAGGUGCAAGUGAUAUUACACUAAGAUAAAUAUAUCGGUGGGAUGGCCAAGUGUCAUGUCUUAUAAUGGGGCCUAGACAUCCAAGAAGAGCCUCUGAUCACACAGUUACAAGUGACAAGGCAUAAAAUACUGUUGUAGAAAACACAGCAGGUGGCGAUCAAUCAAUGACAUCUGCUGCUUGUAAAUGCACAGAAAAUUCCAUUCUCAACCCAGUUGCUCAAGAAAACCUGGUUUUGGUUGACACAUGUAAACACCAUAACUCAAAAUCACCUAUUUUAGAUGCCUUGCAGUUACUGUGGCAUAGAAACAUCUUACUUCCUGUUUUUGCAAGCUACACAGGCACACAGCAUUGUGGGUACAUUUUGACUUCAACAAAAACACACAUUUGGGAUAAUUUCCUUACCUUAGUGUCUGCCAUUUUGAUAAUGAUGAUGGAUAAUCAAAUUAAAAGCUAAUAAAAUACUAAAUGCAUGAUUUACCUUCCCUUUCAUGCUCAACACAUGGUCCAGAGUUAAAUCCAUACAACUACUAGAUGGAUUACCAAGAGAUUUUGUACAGACUGAGCAUGGUUCUUCAGUUUAUAAUAAGACGCUGUCAGCCUAGUACUUGAGUAACUUGAUGUUACCAUUCUAAUAUGCUACAUGAUGUAGGUUGCUGACAUGCAAUGCUUGUUAAGGUCUAAUAAGUGUUAACACGCUCACAUUAACACAUUAACAUGCUAGCUCAAAGCACAGCUGAGGCUGACAAAGUACACCUGAUACCUAUAAUGAGUCUGUAGCUUUCGGGUGUAUUUGUAUUGAGCAUGUAAUUUACAUACUUACCUUGAACAUUGUCUCCUAGAAAUUACGUUUUUAUAGUACUAGAUUGUUUUCCCAAUUAUGUUGUGGUGAGAAACUGGUUGGAUUAUGUUCGGAGGCAACGUUUUUUUUUAGUUUGAAAUUUAUUAACCGUACCAGAGUCACAGGGAGGUGGUCUGGGCGGAUGGCAGGUGUACAAAGCUCAGGACUUUGACUCCAGAGACUGUGGUUGGCACCCUGAAUACAGUCUGUGGUUGGGUUUAGGCAACAAAGUACUUUGAUUAAGGUUACGAAAACAUUGUUUCGAUUAAAUGUUAACAAUGACAUUAUGUCUCGUGAUUCAAGUCACUGCAGACACUUUCUGUAUUAAAACAAAACCAUGAUCUUUCCCUAACUUUGAAAAUGACAUAUGUUGUCAUUGAACAUUUUACAAAUAUGUUCUGCAUCAACAUUUUUUCCAGAGAUUUGUUAACAUUUCCUCAUUAUGUUCUUAACUCUGAAUUAUUUUCUUUUUCCCCAUGUUGAUCAAUGAAUGUUGUCCCUGACAAAUAAACUAAUAAACUAAUAAACUGAAAUAGCAAUAACUCUAA